UGUCCAGGGAUGGGAAUCGAACACACAGUUUUCCCUUACCGGGCAGAUUCCAUGUCCACUAGGCUACCCAGGAC
rnacentral:tRNA from 1 species